rnacentral:rRNA from 1 species
UACGAGGGGUGCAAGCGUUAAUCGGAAUUACUGGGCGUAAGGCGCGCGUAGGCGGCUUGAUAAGUCGGAUGUGAAAGCCCUGGGCUCAACCUGGGAACUGCAUUCGAUACUGUCGAGCUAGAGUGUGGGAGAGGGUGGUGGAAUUUCCUGUGUAGCGGUGAAAUGCGUAGAUAUAGGAAGGAACACCAGUGGCGAAGGCGACACCUGGACUGAUACUGACACUGAGGUGCGAAAGCGUGGGGAGCAAACAGGAUUAGAACC